rnacentral:lncRNA from 1 species
GGGUUCCGCCCGGGGAGCCGCCGCUCUGGGCCGCAGCCCGGGCCCUGACUGCAUUUCCGCCGGCGCCCAAGCGAGGAAGGGCGGGUCCUGCAUCCGAGGCAUCCCCGAUCCAUCCAGCAUCUUCUCGCGCAGUCUUCUUCGACCCGCUGCCACAGUCCCGGCGCCCCAGGCCCUGCGCAGAUGAAGACCCUCCCUCGGACGGCUUUGCGGGCCCUGCCUCAGCCGGCGCCCCCUUCUCUCCUGCAGGACCCGGACCCGCACUGCAGGGGCUGAGUGCCCCCUGGUUGGCGUCUGAGUCUUGCCUCCCCGUAGGCUCAGUACCUGGCAUGUGUCCAAGGCUCAGCAGCUGUACCACAACCACCCAACAGGAGAGAAGGAAAGGAGAGGUGCACCCCGGGGAUGUGGUGAGGCCAUCCCGUCAUGGGGAAUCAGAAAAGGACUGCGUCUUAGCCAGCCAGCUGGGGGAAGAGGAGGCAGCACCGGGCAGAGGGGCCCUUGAGAGAUGUCACCAUCCUGUUAAGAAAGGGCUGGACCACAGCGCUGCAGAGAUGAGUCCACGGUGUGCAGAGGCCGUCGUGGAAGUUGUCGUGUCAGCAGCGCUGUAGACCGCAGUGUCCUUGAGGGGUGCUGCUUUGGAAGAAGCCUCGGGGGUCAGAACCACUCGCCCUCUCAAGGUGAGGACCUGGGUCCCAGCUCCCCCGGAGGGUCCUCCUCAUGGUAUUUAGGGGCUGACCGCGGACACUGGCGUAGCAGCGUGAAGCAGGAUGUUGUCGCAUGACCAUCGCCAAACCUUUCUCUUCUGUUGCCUCAGCACAGCGUGGAAGGACUCUGCCCUCUGUGUGAACAGGGCAGAGGGGAAGUUCUGGGGCUCCAGGGACUUGGGGUUCAGAGCUGGAGACCUUCUACUGGCUCCCAGCAGGUGCCUCAGAACACUGCUGACCAGGAAGACUGUCUCUUCCCAUCUGGACCAGGUCAUCCCGUGGCUUCUGUGUCUCCCAUUUGCUCCUAGUAUAACUUUUUAGAACCAGGAGUUCCUGUUGGAGUCUUGUGUGCCGUGCAUCUUAUCUUCUCACCCACUUAAAUAAAUCUCGAAACUGCC